AUUCUUAGCGCAAGUAAUAAAAAAUUCAUGUUUGAUACCUGAGGUCCUAAGUUCGAAAUCUAAUUGUUUUACAUUUCCAGCUAAGUUUAUUUUCCAAAAAAAAAAAAAAAAAAAAAACGGAUAUCAUGUUACCUGUUGGCUUAAAUGGGCUAGCGUUCUAACCGGUGAUGGAUGGCUAAGUUGGGCCGCAUCAUGUUCGAAAUGAAAUGACGUGAGGAUGGGUUGAACAGAGUCAUGUCUGAAGUGGCGUGAGGCUGAUUGGGCCAAGUUACAAUCGAAAUCCGUGGGCGUCAUAUUUGUACACUUUAAGUGAAUUGGUUGCGUAUUUCUAAUAACUCGAGCUAUAUAUUAGGAUUAAUGACUAGCAUCAAUGAUCCGAUCCAAUAAGUGGUAUCAGAGCCAGAGGUUACGGAUCCGAUUUACACAUACUGCAAAUUUGUACAGAUGCUAGAAAAGAAAUUGUUGGCUUAAAUGGACAAGCAUCCUCCCUUGUGGCUGGAGGCUAGGUUGGGUCGAGUCAUAUUCGAAAUUGCGUGAGGUUAGGUUGGGCCGAGUCAUGUCCGAAGUGGCGUGAGGUUGGUUGGGCCGACUCACAAUAGAGACCGUCGGCGCUUUGCAUCUGUUCGUUUUAAAUGAAUUGGUUGCGCAUUUCUAACCGUUUGACCUUUUAAAAUUAAUGAUUAACGCCAAUAAUUCGACACUAUCUUUUUCUUAAAAUAAAUAAAUAAAUAGACUUUUGCUUAUAUACCUCUAAUAAUUAUUGAAAACUUUUAAUUUAUCUCUUAAUAUCCAAAAUACUCUUCUAAAAUUCAAUCUUAUUCAUAAAUUCUUAGAGGAAAAAAAAUUGAAAUAAAUAAGAUAUUUUUAAAUAAACAAUAAAUAAGAUAUUUUUAAAAUUUUAAAUGAUAUGUAAUAUAUUAU
rnacentral:lncRNA from 1 species